rnacentral:lncRNA from 1 species
GAAAAACUAGAACUCGGACUUAUCCAGCUCUCUGGAGAGAGAGACAUGAUAAGUGAGCAGGAGGCCAGGGCAGGGCAGGGGAGCUGCAGGGUGGUGGGAGGGGCCCCAGUGUCUGAGCCUGUCCUCCCGCAGGAAAGUCCAUCAAACCAAAUGACCAUCAGACAGCAGUGGUCAAGACCCAGCACCAGAAGAAGUACGAUGUUAGCAUGCUGUCCGAGGCCGAGGAGGGGAUCAAGGUAAGGUGUACAACAUCUCUGCGGGGGUGAGGGGGAUGGGGGUGGGCGUGAGCGUGGGUGCCGGCACCGGCGUGGCAGCUGAGCACCCCUAUCUCCAGGUGAAGCUGCUGGAGCUGCAGGGCCCAGUGACGCAGCUUAUGAUCGGCCACGAGGUCCAGCACCCUGCUAAUGAUUCCACUCCAGGGGCCCCAGCCCCCCAGGAGCUUGGUGCUGCUGACAAGGAUGUAUUUUAUGAGAUGAGCCCGGACGACGACAGCGACAGCCUGGAGCCUGCAGGAGGGAGGGUACACCACACCCCACUGCACAGCAGAUUGCUCACGGCUGUGUGAGCUGCAGGAUGGCCAGCAACACUGACCCUUGGGCAGCAGUCCCUCUAUGCCAUGCUUUUACCGGGCUGCUGCGAAGGAGGUAAACAUCACCAUCAGCUAAGAGCUGGCCAAGAAAUUUACAAAGGAACAAAGUUAUACGGUUAAUCUUCUACAUGUUACUUUAUUUGAAUGUUAGAGCCACUCAUGAUGAUUUGUGUUUCUAAUUUAUAGUUUAUUUGUAAUAAGUUAAAGGGAGUGGGUCUUCGUGUGGCUUUCACUGAUGUCCACUCUGGCAUCCUUUAGCGUCUUUAAUUUGAUAAUCGUAGGUCAUUAGCAUGCCUAUCGAGUUUGCCCUUACGUGGUGGGAGUUCAAACACACAAAGACCCACUAUCGGCACAAAACCAUUCUCGCUAGUUUGGAAUAGGCUGCCAUGGUUUUUAACGUUAUUGCAGCAUGUAUAUUCAUUAUGGAAUUCAGAUACAAUUUGCUUAUGUUCUGCUAUGGUAGUUGAUGGACUCCUGAUCACAGUGAGCUCUUAAUUAGCUCAAUGUGUGCUUUGCCCUCACGUGCACACUGUUUAUUAUUUGUAAGGUGCCACUAUGUGUACUGACAUCUAGAGUUGUUGAAAAGCCGAGAACUGGAAACAGCCUUUCUUCCAUUUUCUGUGCAUUGCAAAUGGGAGUAAUAACAUUUUUGGGAGCUUUUAACAUCUCACAGAAGAGGAAAGUGGCCUGCUCUGGCAGGUAUGUGCAGAAU